AAGGAUCAUUUCUGAAUAGGCUUAACCGCCAGACACAGUGAAACGCCUUUAACGAGGCAUUUCUUGGGCUGCUGCUUGCAGUGGCCCAACGUUUUACAAACUUAUAGUUAUUACUUCUGAACCAUGAAAUUUAAAACUUUCAACAACGGAUCUCUUGGUUCUCGCAUCGAUGAAGAACGCAGCAAAGCGCGAUAGGUAAUGCGAAUUGCAGACGUGAGUCAUUGAAUCUUUGAACGCACAUUGCGCUACUAGGUUCUCCUAGUAGCAUGCUUGUUGGAGCGGCGAUCUUCCUCCAUUAUGGGUUUUGCUUCUUUUAGAAGUCAAAUGGAUGAAAGUGCACACGUUAGUUAACUCUGUGUACUACAGAUCAACUUUUAGCCCCCCAAUCAAGUAAGACUACCCGCUGAACUUAAGCAUAUCAAUAAGCGGAGGAA
rnacentral:misc_RNA from 1 species